GACCCCGGUUCCCGCUCCCUCAGAGAACAGCCCUCCUGAGAACACGGUGCCGAGGGAACGCGGCCGGCGCACACGGCCACCUACUGGUCCCAGGGUGGCCCCUGCAGCAGGUGUCCAGCGGACGCCAAGCGGCAGGGACAGGAGGCCGAGGAGCGGUCGGUCCCCGGGGGCAGGACGGGGUGCAGGGGGCAGUGAGCGCGCGGCGGCCGGGCCGUCUGUGCGGGGCGGUGCCGCGUGUGCAGCCGAGAGGGCCGACAUGUCGGGGGUGCACGUGGGGGCGCGCGAGCUCCUGCACGCUCGUCGGUGGCGCCCCAUGCCGUCCGCGCGGCGCAGAGCCAGCGACUUCCCGCCAGCGGCUUUUCUGGCGGGCGAGGGCCGGGCCGGGCCAAUGGGGACGCGGUGACCUCAUCAGGCCUGCGUGUCACCGCGUGCGCAGCGGGGCGGGGAGGGGGUGUGUCCCUCGGAUACGGAGCGGGGCCUCCUCGCCCGCUGCUGAGGGCUCGGGUGCAGCCGGCCCAGCGCGCCGCACGGCGGUGCACCCCGGCGCUCCUCUCUGCGCCCCGACGCUGUUUCGGCAGCGCAGCCCGAGGCCCGUCUCUCUGCAGCCCGAGGUCGGACUCUCUGCAGCCCGAGGUCGGACUCUCUGCAGCCCGAGGUCGGACUUUCUGCAGAGAGACCGACCUCGGGCUGUAGAGAGACUGACCUCGGGCUGCAGAGACCGACCUCGGGCUGCAGAGAGUCCGACCUCGGGCUGCAGAGAGUCCGACCUCGGGCUGCAGAGAGACGGGCCUCGGGCUGCGCUGCCGAAACAGCGUCGGGGCGCAGAGAGGAGCGCCGGGGUGCACCGCCGUGCGGCGCGCUGGGCCGGCUGCACCCGAGCCCUCAGCAGCGGGCGAGGAGGCCCCGCUCCGUAUCCGAGGGACACACCCCCUCCCCGCCCCGCUGCGCACGCGGUGACACGCAGGCCUGAUGAGGUCACCGCGUCCCCAUUGGCCCGGCCCGGCCCUCGCCCGCCAGAAAAGCCGCUGGCGGGAAGUCGCUGGCUCUGCGCCGCGCGGACGGCAUGGGGCGCCACCGACGAGCGUGCAGGAGCUCGCGCGCCCCCACGUGCACCCCCGACAUGUCGGCCCUCUCGGCUGCACACGCGGCACCGCCCCGCACAGACGGCCCGGCCGCCGCGCGCUCACUGCCCCCUGCACCCCGUCCUGCCCCCGGGGACCGACCGCUCCUCGGCCUCCUGUCCCUGCCGCUUGGCGUCCGCUGGACACCUGCUGCAGGGGCCACCCUGGGACCAGUAGGUGGCCGUGUGCGCCGGCCGCGUUCCCUCGGCACCGUGUUCUCAGGAGGGCUGUUCUCUGAGGGAGCGGGAACCGGGGUCCCUCCCCCCGAGAGAGCAGGAAUCGGGCCCCUCCCCCUGAGGGAGCAGGAAUCGGGGCACCCCCCCCCCAGGGAGCAGGAAUAACGGCCUCUUCCCCCCCCCCCCAGGGAGCAGGAAUCGGGGCCCCUCCCCUCAAGGGAGCAGGAAUCGGGGUCCCUCCCCCCCGAGAGAGCAGGAAUCGGGCCCCUCCCCCUGAGGGAGCAGGAAUCGGGGUCCUCCUCCCGAGGGAGCAGGAAUCGGGGCACCCCCCCCCAGGGAGCAGGAAUAACGGCCUCUUCCCCCCCCCCCCGGGAGCAGGAAUCGGGGCCCCUCCCCUCGAGGGAGCAGGAAUCCGGGACCCCCAAGGGAGCGGGAAUUGGGGUCCCUCCGCCCGAGGGAGCAAAAGACGGACCUCGGGCUGCAGAAAGACGGACCUCGGGCUGCGGAGAGACCAACCUCGGGCUGUGGAGAGACCAACCUCGGGCUGCGCUUCCGAAAGACGGCGUCGGGGCGCAGAGAGGAGCGCCGGGGUGCACCGCCGUGCGGCGCGCUGGGCCGGCUGCUCCCGAGCUCUGAGCAGCGGGCGAGGAGGCCCCGCUCCGUAUAAAAGCGACACCCCCUCCCCUCCCCGCUGCGCACGCGGUGACACGCAGAUCUGAUGAGGUCACCGCGUCCUCAUUGGCCCGGCCCUCGCCCGCCAGAAAAGGCGGGAAGUCGCUGGCUCUGCGCCGCGCGGACGGCAUGGGGCGCCACCCACGAGCGUGCAGGAGCUCGCGCGCCCCCACGUGCACCCCCGACAUGUCGGCCCUCUCGGCUGCACACGCGGCAGCGCCCCGCACAGACGGCCCGGCCGCCGCGCGCUCACUGCCCCCUGCACCCCGUCCUGCCCCCGGGGACCGACCGCUCCUCGGCCUCCUGUCCCUGCCGCUUGGCGUCCGCUGGACACCUGCUGCAGGGGCCACCCUGGGACCAGUAGGUGGCCGUGUGCGCCGGCCGCGUUCCCUCGGCACCGUGUUCUCAGGAGGGCUGUUCUCCGAGGGAGCGGGAACCCGGGUCCCCCCCCCAAGGGAGCAGGAAUUGGGGUCCCUCCCCCGAGCGAUCAGGAAGCGGGGUCCCUCCACCAAGGGACAGGAGUCGGGGUCCCUCCCCCGAGGGAUCAGGAAUCGGGGUCCCUCCACCAAGGGAUCAGGAGUUGGGGUCCCUCCCCCAAGGGACAGGAGUCAG
rnacentral:lncRNA from 1 species